rnacentral:SRP_RNA from 1 species
GAAGCAUCACCACGCAAUGUGAUGCAAUGAACUUGGUCAGGUCUUGACGGAAGCAGCCAUAAGUUGAUAAGCAUGUGUGUGGUGAUGCUUGAAA